AUACGGAGGGUGCAAGCGUUACUCGGAAUCACUGGGCGUAAAGCGCGCGCAGGCGGGCUGAUAAGUUGGAUGUGAAAGCCUACGGCUCAACCGUAGAACUGCAUCCAAAACUGUCAGUCUCGAGUGUGGGAGAGGAAGAUGGAAUUAGUUGUGUAGGGGUAAAAUCCGUAGAGAUAACUAGGAAUACCAAAAGCGAAGGCAAUCUUCUGGAACACUACUGACGCUGAGGCGCGAAGGCGUGGGGAGCAAACAGGAUUAGAAACCCCUGUAGUCC
rnacentral:rRNA from 1 species